rnacentral:rRNA from 1 species
CCCUUAGAUGUUCUGGGCCGCACGCGCGUUACACUGAUGCAUUCAACGAGCUUAUAACCUUGGCCAAGAGGCCUGGGCAAUCUUGUUAACGUGCAUCGUGAUAGGGAUAGAUUAUUGAAAUUAUUAAUCUUGAACGAGGAAUUCCUAGUAAACGCAGAUCAUCAAUCUGCAUUGAUUACGUCCCUGCCCUUUGUACACACCGCCCGUCGCACCUACCGAUUGGAUGGUCCGGUGAAGCCUCGGGAUUGUGGUUCUUGCCGCUUUAUUGUGGCGUGACCGCGAGAACUUGUCUAAACCUUAUCAUCUAGAGGAAGGUGAAGUCGUAACA